GCCGAGGUGGUGAAAUUGGCAGACACGUAGCGUUCAGGACGCUAUAGGGGAAACCCUGUGGGAGUUCAAAUCUCCCCCUCGGCA
rnacentral:tRNA from 1 species